AUUCAGUUGACGAGUCCCAAAAUAGGACGAAGUGUUCGACGUCCUGGAU
rnacentral:hammerhead_ribozyme from 1 species